UAACAAAAAAGAAAAUCAGACACAGAACUUACUGUUAGGCCUGAGCUGGGUAAGAGGCACAAGAAAAGAACUGUGAACACUGCAAGGACACAGGCAAUCAGAAGACUUCAGUUUGCAAUGCUGUCCAUUUAACAUAUUCCUUAUGCUUCAAAUUCAUCCUGACAAAACAAUCCCUUCCCCCAUCCAUCUGUCUACUUUUGCCAUCAAGCCUGGGGAACAGCAGCUGACAAAGCUGCAACAUCAUUUUAAAUAUAUUAAUUGGCUAGAAAAAAUAAUCUAUCAGUAGACUGCAGGCUGGUGAGCACAAGGCAAAACUGAAGGAAAAAUAAGCUGCACUCAUUCUAAUCUAACUGCAUCCCAUAUUUGCUCAGCCUUUUCCUCAAGGAGAGCCUCAUUUCCUGGCACUUACGCACUGCAGAGUCUAAACUAAAUACCACACAAAUCUUUCUUUAAGGAGACCAAUUUGGAAAUGGUCAUUCCUAACCAGAAGACAUAAAACUAAGU